rnacentral:rRNA from 1 species
UACGAGGGGGGCAAGCGUUGUUCGGAAUCACUGGGCGUAAAGGGCGCGUAGGCGGCCGAUCAAGUCGGGGGUGAAAGCCUGUGGCUCAACCACAGAAUUGCCUUCGAUACUGUUUGGCUUGAGACCGGAAGAGGUUAGUGGAACUGCGAGUGUAGAGGUGAAAUUCGUAGAUAUUCGCAAGAACACCAGUGGCGAAGGCGGCUGACUGGUCCGGUUCUGACGCUGAUGCACGAAAGCGUGGGGAGCAAACAGG